ACGGAGGGUGCAAGCGUUAAUCGGAAUUACUGGGCGUAAAGCGCGCGUAGGCGGUUUGGUCAGUUGGAUGUGAAAGCCCCGGGCUUAACCUGGGAACUGCAUUCAAUACUGCCAGGCUAGAGUACGAGAGAGGGGGGUAGAAUUUCUAGUGUAGCGGUGAAAUGCGUAGAUAUUAGAAGGAAUACCAGUGGCGAAGGCGGCCCCCUGGUUCGAUACUGACGCUAAGGUGCGAAAGCGUGGGGAGCAAACAGG
rnacentral:rRNA from 1 species